ensembl:snRNA U6 U6 spliceosomal RNA
AUGCUCGCUACUACAGCACAAAAACUAAGCCUGGAAAGAUACACAGAAGAUUAGUAUGUCCUCUGCAUAUGGAUGUCAGCAAAUUCAUAAGGCAUUCCAUAGUUUU